AUUUUAGCAAUGUGUACCGGGUUUCAGUAGACAAAAAUACCCUUAUAUAUCAUGAAUUCUAAGUUUUAAGGUUAAGGGUAUUUUAAUAAUUUUCAUUCUCAAAAUUAAAAAAAUAAAAAGAAAACUCCCAAACCCUUACCCACCUCUCUCAUUCCUCUCAACUCUUUCUCUUUCAUCUCUUUCACUUCAACCUUUUCUCUGUCAUCCUACUCUAGCUCCACUUGAAAAAAAAAUCAGAAACACUUGCCUUAUUUUAAUAAUUUUCAUUCUCAAAACUAAAAAAAAACCCAAACCCUUUCCUCCUUCAUUCCUCUCAACCCUUUCUCCUUCAUCUCUCUCACUCAAACAUUUUCUCUAUCGUCUCUACACUAGCCCCAACUAAAAAAACACUCAUUAUUAAACGAUUUACUUUUGUAAAGAGUUGAGUCAUUGACAUAUUCAUCUUCCGAAAAAAGUUCAUUCAAAAUCUCUUUAAUUUCAUUAUCUUCACUAUGUAUAUUACAGCCGACGGGCACAACUUGCACCAAGACUUAUGAGCAUCCUUCUUUUACAUUCUGAGACUACUACGUAACAUUGCUACGUGGUCAUUUAAUUUUCUUUGGUAGAAAUUCAUUAACUUGUUUUCCUUUACUAAAAAAAACAAAUCAAAAUACAAUAAAAUUCUCAACGAUAAAAUCAAACAAUAAAAAUUCUAAAUCUUGAAAUUUUAUUUAAAAUUAUAUAAAGAAAAAAUUAGGUGCUUUAAUUUUUUUAUUCAUGUAAGUAUUUUUUUCUCUAACCAUUUUAUUUAAUAAUGAGUGUUUUUUUAGUUGGGGCUAGUGUAGAGAUGACAGAAAAUGUUUGAGUGAGAGAAAUGAAGGAUAAAGGGUUAAGAGGAAUGAAGGAGGGGAGUAAGGGUUUGAGAUUUCUUUUUUUAGUCUUGAGAAUGAAAAUUAUUAAAAUAAAGCAAGUGUUUCUGAUUUUUUUUCAAUUGGGGCUAGAGUAUGGAUGACAGAGAAAAUGCUGAGUGAAAGAGAUGAGAAAGAAAGAGUUGAGAGGAACGAGAGAGGUGGGUAAGGGUUUGGGGGGUUUCUUUUUUUAUUUUUUUUAAUUUUGAGAAUGAAAAUUUUUAAAAUACCCUUAACCUUAAAACUUAGAAUUCAUAAUAUAUAAGGGUAUUUUUGUCUACUGAAACUCGGUACACAUUGCUAAAAUGUACCAACAG
rnacentral:lncRNA from 1 species